rnacentral:lncRNA from 1 species
GUAAAAGUGUGAGGGGCUGUUGCCUCUCAAAAGUGACAAUUUAAGAUAAUAUAAACCAACCUAAAAAGGGUUAUGUCAAUCAAGUUAUGCAUAUGCUUCCUCGGAAAUAAUUUGAGAGAAUUAUCAAAUUUGGACGCCAUCUUAAAUUAAAAAAAAAAAAAGCAUCAAAUGAGUCUGAAGGAAUGAAAUGUAGAAGUUGUUACCAUACUAGUAACGGAGCAGAUGAAGGCUGUAUGAAGGGGUAGUUCAAGGAACCAGUAACACGUUGGAGUAGCAACAGCCCUGUGAGUCGGGUGCACUCGACUCCACUAACAGGAGCACAGCCAGCAUGAUGUUUGAUUUCUAGAGUUUUUUAAUAGCUUUUUAGUGGUUUCACCCUCCACUGAUUGCAACUGGGAGUUAAUAAAAUCCCAUGCUUGUGAAAUGUUUCUAUUUGGUUAUUGGGUUCUCUUACUUCCAGAAAACAAAUCGCUUUCAAGUAUCAGCCAGCUGAUGCCCUCCGUCUUCCAGAAAUAAAGCGCAACAGUGAGGUCCUGACCACGAAUUCCCCUGGGAGCAUACGGCCAAAACUGCACAGGGAAUGCUUCUCUCUUGCCCCAGCCAACUUCUUAACUCCCACUGAAAUCACCGAGCCUCGAGCACCUGCUGCUUUGUAUUUCUCAACAAGCCAUAAUGCCCUUCCAUCGCCCCUCUCCCAUAAAUUCCGCCUUUACAUUCAGUUCCCGGUGCAUACAGAUCGACGCGGAUUCCUCCCUGAGCCAGGAUCUCGGGAGAGCGACUCCGGACUCCGAGGCACGGCCCCGCUCACACCGCUCUCCCAGCCCCGCCCCGCAGCUCUGGCCGCAGCUCGGAGCGGGCCCGCACCGCCGGGCCGAGAGCGCCCUCUGCUGCCACAACCCGAACCUCCCCUGCGCAACUGGGGGGCCUCACCUCUCCUAUUGCUGGUACCCGGGAGAAGAGGCCGACCCUUCUCCUUUCAGGUGGCUGUAGAGAACGAUGAGGUCUCCCCCGAGCCUCCUCUUCUCCAGACUGAAGAACCCCAGCUCCCUCAGCCGGUCCCCAGCAGACUUGUGCUCCAGAACCCUCACAGCUUCGCUGACCUUCUCUGGACGCAUUGCAUUCCACUGCGAGGUUGAAAGCACAGGUGAUCUCAGGACAGUAUGUUUUCAGCUGCUGUAACUUGUUAUCUGGCUAAGUCAAGCCAGCUAUAGGCUGAAAUCUGGUGGAAUGGCUUCUGCCCUCUGUCCCUUCUCUUUCCGUAGCACCCCAGUGCUGUUUGGCGCAGUGCGGAUAGGAGAGGGCAGGACAGGAUGGGAAAGGACCACAGGUCAGGCAUAGUCACCAAGUACCUGAAUGGUGCCAUCAGCCAGAGGUUUCAGUCCAGCAGUCAGUGGAUGUUUGUGUUCUCUUACAGUUUUAAUACUGUUGUAACACGUACACAUAAUGCACCUGUUUGUUGUCAUCAUAUGGAAUGUUAUGCUAUUCAGUAGCAAAGGAUGCACGUUCUCG